AAUUUUGGACAAUGGGGGAAACCCUGAUCCAGCCAUCCCGCGUGUAUGAAGAAGGCCUUCUGGUUUUAAAGUACUUUUGGCAGAAAAGAAAAGGCAUCCCCUAAUACGCGAUGCUGCUCACGGUAUCUGCAGAAUAAGCACCGGCUAACUACGGGCCAGCAGCCGCGGUAAUUCGUUGGGUGCAAGCGUUAAGCGGAAUUACUGGGCGUAAAGCGUGUGUAGGCGGUUCGGAAAGAAAGAUGUGAAAUCCCAGGGCUCCACCUUGGAACUGCAUUUUUAACUGCCGAGCUAGAGUAUGUCAGAGGGGGGUAGAAUUCCACGUGUAGCAGUGAAAUGCGUAGAUAUGUGGAGGAAUACCGAUGGCGAAGGCAGCCCCCUGGGAUAAUACUGACGCACAGACACGAAAGCGUGGGGAGCAAACAGG
rnacentral:rRNA from 1 species